AAACAUGCUAGAACAAUGCCUUAUCCACAAACACUUCUUUCAAAAUCUCCACAACCUAAAAGGAAACCCAAUGAUCAACAAACGGCAUGGUAAAACGAGAUAAAAAAAACUCACGCCACAUGUGCGCAGAAUGAAAGAGACAAGAAAAUAUAGAGAGUGGCUGACGACGACGAGGUCGAGGAAGUCUGGCGGCACGACUGUAAAAGGCACAUGUAUCACAUGGGAGAGUGACAAUACUUAUGUGAGAUUUGUGUAGAGAUUUUGUGUUUAUAUUAGUGCACUAAAAUUCUCCAAAAUUCAUGAAAUAUUAGAAUCCUUGGAAAUUUCAAUACCACUAGAUUUUGAUGGAUAUUUAAAAGUUAUAAUUGAACACCAACAGAUUUAUAACGAUUUUUUAAAAAUUUGAAUUGAAUAUCUAUGAACAUUUGAAAUACAAAAAAAAUCUUAUAGAAUCUUAAUUGAAUAGACCCCGUUAGAGUCUAGUUCAUUAAAUUCAAAAUAAAUUUAAUGUAUUUUUUAGUUAUCGGCGUUUUUAUAUACUCCUUUUCUCCAAAAUAAUUUAAUAUCUUUCUUUUUGGGGUCAUCUCUCUCAUUCUCCAAAAUAAUACUAUUCUUAUUUUUUUUACCACUCUCAAUAUUAGUUAUAACACAUUUUUAUAAUUAUUAAUAUUAAUUAUAAUAUUUUUUAUUAUUUUUAAUACAUUUAGUAAUUUUGUUUUAAAACUCGUACAAAGUUAUUUGGAGAUAUACUCCAUCCGUCUCACCUCUAUAGUCCACUUCUCCUUUUCACGCAUAUUAAGAAAAUGCAAUAAAUAGUGCUUGAAAAAUACAAAAUAUAUGUAAUUAUUCAAUUUUGCCCUUAUUUAUUCUAUGUUUGAUUAUAUUUAGAUAAGGUUACUUUGGUAAAAAAAGAAAUUUAAUGUUAAUUUAAUUUAAAAAGUAGACUAUAUUGUGGGAUAUCUUAAAAAGGAAUAAGAGAGUAGGAAGGUGGGAGGGAGUAGGAAGUAUAUUCUUUUUAAUUUAUUAAAAAUCUUAAGUUGCGAUUUUAUUUGUUUUUAGAGAAGUUUGCGAGUUGUUAUUUUCCCUCAAUAUAUAACAAUUUGGUUGAAAACUCGAAUUUGACAUCAGCAGGCCGAAACGCGGACAACUGGAUGUGGUCCCAUGUUUAUGAUCACAUAUUCAACUACUUGCACGUGCGCGGCGGAUUAGGACUUUGAAAUAAUUAACUGGAUUGGAUUAUGAAGAUUAUGUCCGAACACAGGCUUUAACCGUGGGGUCCAGUUAUUUUUCGGUGCUUUAUCA
rnacentral:lncRNA from 1 species